rnacentral:tRNA from 1 species
UCCUGAUUCGCUCAGUUGGUAGAGUGCUCCACUGGAAACGGAGAGGCCCUAGGUUUGAUACCAGGACCAGGCA